GACGAACGCUGGCGGCGUGCUUAACACAUGCAAGUCGAACGGAAAGGCCCUGCUUUUGUGGGGUGCUCGAGUGGCGAACGGGUGAGUAACACGUGAGUAACCUGCCCUUGACUGUGGGAUAACUUCAGGAAACUGGGGCUAAUACCGGCUAGGAGCUCCUGCUGCAUGGUGGGGGUUGGAAAGUUUCGGCGGUUGGGGUUGGAUUCGCGGCUUAUCCGCUUGUUGGGGGGGUAGUGGCUUACCAAGGCUUUGACGGGUAGCCGGCCUGAGAGGGUGACCGGCCACAUUGGGACUGAGAUACGGCCCAGUCUCCUACGGGAGGCAGCAGGGGGGAAUAUUGCACAAUGGGCGGAAGCCUGAUGCAGCAACGCCGCGUGCGGGAUGACGGCCUGCGGGUUGUAAACCGCUUUCGCCUGUGACGAAGCGUGAGUGACGGUAAUGGGUAAAGAAGCACCGGCUAACUACGUG
rnacentral:rRNA from 1 species